AAUAUAAUGUGACAGUUAUUUUUAACUAUACCAACUCUUUGGCCUUGUGGUUACAGUGUCCGUUCUCAGAAUGGAAGGUUGGGAGUUUGAUCCUGGGCCGAGUCACAACAAAAGAUGCUUGGCACUCAGCAUUAAGGAGACAGAUUUGGGGUAACGGCCCUAAGGCAAACUAGCAUCCUUGUCCAGGGGGUUUACUUGUACACCAAGCUGCCUCAGGAAUAGAAGAUCUGCUCCAAUGAGCUGAUCUGGCUCAGCCAAGGCUUCAUACUUAUAGUCAAGAUGAUGAUGAACUGGUAUUAUAAAAUACUAUGUAUUUGCAGUUAUUGAACGAGUGGAUGUUUGGAGAAUAAACAAAAAACACUAGUAACAUCCAACAAAUACAUAAUUUAUUACUCCAAACGUCAUCAGAGCAUUUCAUAAAUACCACAGGACAUUAGAUCUUGGGACGUUAGCCCAACCAAAACAGUGACAAAAUCUUGCACAAAAUAUCUUGAAAAGAAACAUAUAGUAAACAUUGAACUGGUACAGCACUUCCAUUCAGACCACACAGCAAGUCCACCUACAGAUACAGAUAAGCCUAUUUGAUGUAUGAAGUGUGAUUGUGCCAAAAAACGGUCUCUAAUUGCACCCUAUUGCCUAUGUAGUGCACUACGUUUGAAGAGAGCCCUAUUGGCCCUGUAGGGAAUAGGGUGCCAUUUGGGAUGCAGGUUAAGAGUAUUUAGUCUGUGGUAGCAUAAACAUUAAUGACUAGACACUGGCAUAGGUACACAGUUAUGUACACUAAAACAACAACAACAAAUAAAACAGCUUCUAUUAUCUGAACAGCCAUCACUAGCCGUCUACCAGGGGAUGCACACUCACUGACACAAGCUAUCACACCCCUCAUACUCACAAAACACAUACACUCACACACACAGGCAUACAAGCAGCUGCCGGUGCUAUCCAGUGUUGUAAAUACAUUGAACCACUGGACGUUUCCCGUUUCACAUUGAGAAUUGAAAUACUGUACUCCCGACACAGCUCAUUCUGAUAUUUCUACUACUGUACUUUGUGUUUAGUUACACUGUUUUAUACACAUCGCAUAUUUAUUUAUACACCGGAUUCUUGACAUAGCUCAGUAAUAUCAGUGGUGAUAUUUUGAUACUGAAGUACCUUGUUAAAAAUACAUUAAAGUACUCCUUAAAAGUCGUUUUUGAGGUAUCUAUACUUUACUAUUUCUAUUUUUGACAACUUUUUUUUUAUUACUACAUUCCUAAAGAAAACAAUGUACUUUUUACUCCAUACAUUUUCCCUGACCCUCAAAUGUACCCGUUACAUUUUUUAUGCCUUGCAGGACAUAUUGUUCAAUUCAUGCAUUUAUCAAGAGAACAUCCCUGGUCUUCCCUGGUGCCUAUGAUCUGUCUGACUCACUAAACACACAUGCCUUGUUGGUAAAUUGUCUGAAUGUUGGAGUGUGUCCCUGGCUAACUGUGCAUUUUAAAAACAAGAAAAUGGUGCUGUCUGGUUUGCUUAAUAUAAGGAAUUUGAAAUGAUUUAUACUUUUUACUUUUGAUACUUAAGUAUAUUUCAGCAAUUACAUGUACAUUUGAUACUAAAGUAUAUUUUAGCAAUUACAUGUAUUUUUGAUACUGAAGUAUAUUUAAAACCAUAUACUUUUAGACUUUUAGUAGUAUUUUAAUUUAAUGAGUGACUGUCAAUUUUACUUGAGUCAUUUUCAAUUAAGGUAAAGUAUCUUUACUUUGACUCAAAUAUGACAACUGGGGACUUUUUCAACCACUGACUAAUAUACAGUAUGUACUGCUGCACAUAUCACUCUCAGUAGAUCUAGUGUAAAUCCUCCUGUGUAUAUACGUAUCGAUUGCAUCUGCAUUACUUUUACAGGGCAAUUUGGGUUGUUAAUUGUCCUGACUUUCUUGAUAUCUUUUUUUUGUUUAACUUUUUAAAAAUGUUUUAUUAUUAUUUGUGUACUUGUUCGACAUUUUACUGCAUUGUCAGAAACUAGAAAUGUACGUAAGCAUUUCAUAACAUCCGCUAAACUGUGGACACAAACUAUACACCUUGAUUUGUACCGUAGUGGAACCUGAUUCACCAACUUAGCAGUAGUUAAGUGUAUGAUGUCUAGCAGUUCAUGUUGGUACGUGUGUGUGUGUGUGUGUGUGUGUGUGUGUGUGUGUGUGUGUGUGUGUGUGUGUGUGUGUGUGUGUGUGUGUGUGUGUGUGGGUAUGUCUGGGUGGUCCUAAUGCCCCCCCAACCCCUACAUGGUGCUAGGCUGAAUGCUGCAGAGUCAGCUAGUUGGUUCUAGAAUCAUUGCACAUAAUGACAACGUCUCUCUCUCAGUUUGGCUGUCUAGAGACACAGAUUUUAUACUACACCACCUUAUUUAGGAAACACACACAGGGCCGGCCCUAGGCAUAAGAAACAUAGGCAACCAGUUUUUUGGGAACUCAGUCAGGGUCUCAGGUUAAUGUUGAGCGUUAGAACAGUACAAUAAACAUGGUGUAAUUUCGAAAUUUGGUUGUGCAUCUGGAGUUUUUGUGUAGAAAUGCAGGACAUUUGCUGUAAAAUUGCACAUUUAUCUCUCCACCCAAUGUCUCGAGGUGCAGCAAACGUGUUUAAUAAAAUAAUUCAAUGCCCUAUUGGCAAAAUGUGUAGAAUUGCAGUUAAUUAAAUUGCAUUUAAUUGACAAAAAAAUAAAUAAUAAUCUCUCCACUGUCAAGAGGGGAGCCACUAAAAUGUUUUGCCCGUGAGUUGGAAGAGGCCCAAAAGGCUAGGGCUGGCCCUGCAUGCAUGCACACAUGUGCACCCACACACACAUACACCAUGAUGAACUUUGACACACACAGAGCCAAGGUGCAUGGAGAGGUCAUGGCCAGGAGGAAGCAAGGUAGAUAAUCAAGGAGAGGACCAGGAGUGAGCAGAGUACAUGUCCAGGAGAGGACCAGGAGGGAGCAGAGUAGAUGUCCAGGAGAGGACCAGGAGGGAGCAGUGUAGAUGUCCAGGAGAGGACUCCGAAUUAACAGAGUAGAUGUCCAGGAGAGGACCAGGAGGGAGCAGAGUAGAUGUCCAGGAGAGGACCAGGAGGGAGCAGUGUAGAUGUCCAGGAGAGGACCAGGAGGGAGCAGUGUAGAUGUCCAGGAGAGGACCAGGAGGGAGCAGUGUAGAUGUCCAGGAGAGGACCAGGAGGGAGCAGAGUAGAUGUCCAGGAGAGGACCAGGAGGGAGCAGAGUAGGUGUCCAGGAGAGGACCAGGAGGGAGCAGUGUAAAUGUCCAGGAGAGGACCGGGAGGGAGCAGAGUAGAUGUCCAGGAGAGGACCAGGAGGGAGCAGUGUAGAUGUCCAGGAGAGGACCAGGAGGGAGCAGAGUAGAUGUCCAGGAGAGAACCAGGAGAGACCAGUGUAGAUGACCUGUUUAUGCUAGAUGUUCCUCUUUAGAAGCUUUUCUUUUUUUGACACAAAGACCACAGCAUUAAAGAAACGCACUGAAAUGUCCAAUACACACAGACAAACACAGAGCACACAUGCACGCUUUUACAGGGGAAUGCAUACCCUCUGGAUUUGCAUUUAUUCAAAUAUGGGUUCUUUAUGUCCAAGUCUAAAACCAUGUUUUCUUUUCAAUGUGUGGGUCUUUUCUGUAUAAUUUUCAGUUUUUGUAGGCUGCUGAUGCAAAUGUAGUGAGAUGGUCGGGUUACUAGAUUUGCACAUUCCACACAACAAUAAACAUUUAAAUAAUGAAUGCUUUUUAUAAUUUAUUUAUGAAUAAAAAAACUAAAUCCAAUAAAAAAACGGUGUUUAUUUGCUAUCACACAUUGACCCAUACUGACAUAUUUUUUGUGCUGCAGGGCUUUUGACAACAAUUGGCGCCGGCCAAAGCUACAGUACAGGACAAAGAGAUUCAUCCAAAAGAACAAAGUUCACAGAUUCAACACCAUCAGUUGACAACACUUGAGACGCAAAGCCACAACACACAGGCCACUAAAACUGUUUUAGACGGGUAGAAAACAGCCUGGCCAACAGUAGCUACAUUUAGCGUGGUUAUACUAUUGUCAUAGCACACUGUUGAUCACAAGACUGUUUACAGCUAGGGGAAGUGGUCGGGGCUAUGUGAAAAACAGCUAGGGGAAAUGGUCGGAGUUAUGUCUUAAACAGCUAGGGGAAAUGGUCGGAGUUAUGUCUUAAACAGCUAGGGGAAAUGGUCGGAGUUAUGUCUUAAACAGCUAGGGGAAGUGGUCGGGGUUAUGUCUUAAACAGCUAGGGGAAAUGGUCGGGGCUAUGUGAAAAACAGCUAGGGGAAAUGGUCUAGGGGAGUUAUGUCUUAAACAGCUAGGGGAGGUGGUCGGGGUUAUGUCUUAAACAGCUAGGGGAAAUGGUCGGGGCUAUGUGAAAAACAGCUAGGGGAAAUGGUCGGAGUUAUGUCUUAAACAGCUAGGGAAAUGGUCGGGGCUAUGUGAAAAACAAGGGAAAUGGUCGGAGUUAUGUCUUAAACAGCUAGGGAAAAAUGUCGGGGUUAUGUUUUAAACAGCUAGGGGAGGUGGUCGGGGUUAUGUCUUAAACAGCUAGGGGAAGUGGUCGGGGUUAUGUCUUAAACAGCUAGGGGAAGUGGUUGGGGUUAUGUCUUAAACAGCUAGGGGAGGUGGUCGGGGUUAUGUCUUAAACAGCUAGGGGAAGUGGU
ensembl:lncRNA